AACAUGAGAUGCCUGUAUAAAUUGCUUAUAAUGAAUUUUUUCUUUCUUGUGGCUCUUCAGAUCUAACACGAUGCAGUAUUGUUUCAAUUUCUAACUUAAGGGUCAUGUGUUGUACAGCCUCUGCCUGAUGGUAUUUGAACGUUACGUGUUUUUGGGGGUUGUUUUGCUUUAGUUUACUGUAACAUUAAUUUUAAGAGCUCCACUAGGGGGGGAUGGAGGAGGGGAAUUGCCUAUGAAACCUGAACAAUACAGACAGAUGGAAAUUCUCAUUUUAAGUUACCAAUGAGUAUUCAUUCUUGGAUGAUAUUCCGAAUCUAGCCUGUAGUACUUAUCUUUGAGACAAUCAAUCUAUUGUUAUAUUUUCUAAAUAAAUUAUAAUAAAAUUUAAAAAUCAGGGAUUCUUUUGCAGGUCUACAACCACAAACUACAUAUCAGUUGAUGAAAAACCAGGUAGAGUUGUGACCAAGUUUUCCCUAGCAUUUUUGAGGCUGCGUAUUUCUGCUAAAAAGAAGAGAAUAUUGUUUUAUAUCAACUCCAAUAGCAUAAAUAUUACUGUAUUAUUUAAUAAAACAUGUUUUCUAAUUUGAACUUUGUAAUUUUUGGUUAGAAAGAGAACUGUCGACCUGAUGGAAGGGAGUUAGGUGAAUUCCAGGCAACCACUGUCAACAUAAGCCAGUGCUUAUUUGUAAUAAUAAUAAUGGGAGAGGUAUUAUUAAUAUCAGGUUAUAAUAGUGACCUUAAUGACUUCCUAAUUGGUUUUCUUGGUCCUUGCUUUGAAACAAGGAAGAGAAAGGAUUUUUAUUUACUGUUUCAGCAAGCAUGAAAGAGAAUGCAUAGUACAGUAAUAUACUUUAACAUUGUUUUCAGUCCUGAUCCUAGGCUGAUGUGCACAAUGUAAUUACUUGGGUCUGCUCCUGUCCGGGUAUGUGCAGCACAAAUUAGGUGGUUGUGGAAUCUUGUCUCUGUCUAAGGUGAGCAGUAUCUGUUACAGAUGCUUAAGGCAGCAUCAAGGCAUAUGCUGACCAGCACAAAACUGAUGCCCAAGCAUCUUGGGAGGGACAGUGAGUCCUGGCUUCUGCUGUGUUCUGAGCUUGGUGGGCAACUGCCUCGAGCAGAGGCAGAAUGAGCCAGCAAUGUGCCCUUGCUGCAAAGAAGCCAAUGUUAUCCUGGGCUGCAUUAGGCAUGGCAUUGCCAGCAGGUCAAGGGAGGUGAUUCUGCUCUCUGCUCAGCACUGGUGAGGCCACACCUGGAGUAUUGUGUCCAAUGCCAGGCAGUGUAUAGAAAUUCCUGAAGGGAGGGUGUGGGAAAGACAAAGCCAGGUUCUAUUCAUUUAUAACCAGUGACAGAACAUGAGUCAAUGGGCACAAGCUGAAACACAGAAGGUUCCCUCUGAACAUGAUGAAACACUUUUUUACUGUGAGAGUGAUGGAGCACUGGCACAGGUUGGCCAGAGAAGUUGUGAAGUUUCCUUCCUUGGAGAUAAUCAAAAGCCAUCUGGGUACACUUCUGGGCAACCAGGUGGUCCUCCUUGAGUAAAGGGUGUUGAACCAGAAGAGCUUCAGCUGUCCCAGCCUCAGCCAUUCUGUGUGAUUAACUAUUUAAUAUAGAGAUUCCAUCCCACUCUGGAUUUGAGACAUUGCUUAGGCUCUGUUUAGUAUAAAAUGAUGGAAAGUUAACACUUUGUGAAGGUAGGUGUUAAUUAAUGCUCUUUGAAUGAAAAAUAGAUUUUAUUGAACGGUACUUUUCCUCUGCAGGUUCAAUUGAUACAUUGACCUCUUUAUGUGUCCCUGCAUCACACAAAGAGCUGAUGUGUCACAGUGCAUGGGGUUAGACUUUAAAAAGCAGCAUUUUUGAACAGAGUAGCUAAGGACUUAUGUUUUUGUUACUAUUGCUAUUAAAUGGCAAUCCAAGGUUUUAAAGUUCAGCUUUAAGUUCUAGUUUUUCUUGUUGGCUUAUAGUUUAGAUCCUAUAGAUUUCCCAUUGAUUUUGCUCUAUUUUUAACUUAAAUGGUUCAAAAAUAACAGUAUUUAAUCUCUCAAAGAUAUGCAUCGUGAUGUAUAACAGUUUAUACUGGAUGUCAAACACCCCAUAAAUCCAUUUUUUUAACUAUUCCCAGACUGGGUGAUAUUAGAGUUCUCUGACAAGAAACUGAGAACUACUUUGGUGAACUUACCAUUGGAAAUGAGUUUUGCAUUAAGGUGUCUGGUAGAGAUUAGUGCAGCCUACAUCCUGUGCCAGUUUUUGUGUAACUACAAAAUAAGUGACUGCAUCCUUCAAAUGGCAGUUUAGUGGCAUUUCCCUGCAAUACAUGGAUGUCACAAAUCUAGGAAACUUCAGGCAUAAAGCUGCAUUUUCAAUAGACAUAAACACUUGAUUAUGUGGAAUCUCCUGUAUUUUUUGACUUUUUAAUUUUUUUAAAAUUGGUGCACUUUGGUAAGAAAACAGGUAAGCCUGGGCACUAAAUCCAUCUACAAGUAUUUUGUAAGACUACAGUAAAAAUUAAUGUUAUGUGUAUUUUGCAAUAAUGGUAAUGGAGCAAUACGUACAAACAUGUCUGCAUGCCUUUUCCUUUCACAAGCACAUUACUCGUUGUUGAUCCAACUGCUGAAGAUGAUGAUUUAGCAACUGGAACAGUAACCAUUGUCUGAUGAAGAAGGCAGACUCUGUUCUGUCCAUAAACCAGGUGGAAGUCCUCUUACAGAAGCCAAGCUUCAGGACUAUAUCACCAGAGCAAUUACAAGACACAAAGAAGUAAAGAAGCUGAUUGACAAAGUAAUAAAAAGUACAGUGCCCAAGUGAACAAAAUGAGAGAUCUUUUCAAAAAUGGAUUUGUAAAAAUUGUAUUUGUUACAGUGUUCACAAACCUUUUAUACUAAAUAAACAAUUACCAAUACUACCUUUACAAAGGAAGUCCGGAGAAGCAAUGCAUUAAUUUCAGGGGCAGGUGGAUAAAGCCCCUAGGAAUGUAUUGUAACAAGCUCUAAUAUUCAGUAAAGCUUAGAAACAUA